rnacentral:lncRNA from 1 species
UUAGAAUGAAAAUUCGUUGGAAGUAUAUAGUAGUAAACAGAUAUGAAAAGAACAAAAAAGGGGCAACCAACUCUCCACAGCCCAGCUGAAAUCAGCUCUGGCAGUGUUGAUGGCGCGGGGGAUUUAUGCUUAUAUAUAUGUAUGCAGAAACGAAUCAUCUUCUCUAUAAACAACAGUCUUACCUCAUUGAUCGAUCGAACCUAAGUUUCUGCCAUCUGCCACCUCCGCCGCGCCGAGCCCCUCCUCGAUCCGCGCACUUGGGCGCCCUGGUCCCAUCUGCCAUCUCCGCCCAGAUCCGCCGCUCUGACCUCUCCACCUCUCCAGAUCGGAGUCCUCUCUUCCAUUUCGGCCCAACCCCCAGCGCGGCGCCGCUCUGACCUCUCCACCUCUCCAGAUCGGAGUCCUCUCUUCCCCCAUCUGCUGUGAUUGAGCCGCUUUCCCACCGGUCCGGCCGUCCACCUCCAGUCUCGGACCUUCCCCCACCCGAAAUCCCUCUCGGCCC